ACUCAGGUGUUGUUGGGUAGGGGAGCGUUCUGUAAGCCUGUGAAGGUGGCCUGUGAGGGUUGCUGGAGGUAUCAGAAGUGCGAAUGCUGACAUAAGUAACGAUAAAGCGGGUGAAAAGCCCGCUCGCCGGAAGACCAAGGGUUCCUGUCCAACGUUAAUCGGGGCAGGGUGAGUCGACCCCUAAGGCGAGGCCGAAAGGCGUAGUCGAUGGGAAACGGGUUAAUAUUCCCGUACUUGGUGUUACUGCGAAGGGGGGACGGAGAAGGCUAUGUUGGCCGGGCGACGGUUGUCCCGGUUUAAGCGUGUAGGUGUGUGUUCCAGGUAAAUCCGGUUCACUUUAACACUGAGGCGUGACGACGAGGCACUACGGUGCUGAAGCAACAAAUGCCCUGCUUCCAGGAAAAGCCUCUAAGCAUCAGGUAACAUCAAAUCGUACCCCAAACCGACACAGGUGGUCAGGUAGAGAAUACCAAGGCGCUUGAGAGAACUCGGGUGAAGGAACUAGGCAAAAUGGUGCCGUAACU
rnacentral:rRNA from 2 species